GACGAACGCUGGCGGCGUGCUUAACACAUGCAAGUCGAACGGUAAGCCCCCUCCUUUUUGGUUGGGUGGGAUGAGUGGCGAACGGGGGGGUUACACCGGAGGAACCUGCCCCCCUCUUCCGGAUAACCCGCUGGAAGGGUGGGUAAAUCCGGGUAUUCUGGGUCUGUUGCAUGAUUGGUCCGGGGAAGGUUUUGGUUUGGGGGGGGGUGGGCUCGCGGGCUAUCAGCUUGUUGGUGGGGUGAUGGCCUACCAAGGCGGUGACGGGUAGCCGGCCUGGGAGGGUGGACGGUCACACUGGGACUGAGACACGGCCCAGACUCCUACGGGAGGCAGCAGUGGGGAAUAGUGCACAAUGGGCGCAAGCCUGAUGCAGCGACGCCGCGUGAGGGAUGGAGGCCUUCGGGUUGUGAACCUCUUUCGCCAGUGAAGCAGGCCUGCCUCGUUUGUGGGUGGGUUGACGGUAGCUGGAUAAGAAGCGCCGGCUAACUACGUG
rnacentral:rRNA from 1 species